AGAGUCUGAUCCUGGCUCAGGAUGAACGCUGGCGGCGUGUUUAAGGCAUGCAAGUCGAACGGCAUAUUCUAUAUGUAAGUGGCAAACGGGUGCGUAACACAUUGGUAACCUGCCCCUGAGACGACCAUAACCCGCCGAAAGGUGGGCUAAUAGUCGAUAUAAUUACUUAUUCGUAAGUAUAGUAAUGAAAGACGCAAGUCACUCAGGGAGGGGCCUAUGGCAUAUCAGCUUGUUGGUGAGGUAAUGGCUCACCAAGGCUAUGACGUGUAGCGGGUGUGAGAGCAUGACCCGCCUCACGGGGACUGAGACACUGCCCUGACUUCUACGGAAGGCUGCAGUCAAGAAUAUUGGACAAUGGACGAAAGUCUGAUCCAGCGACGCCGCGUGGAGGAUGAAGCCCUUCGGGGUGUAAACUUCUUUUCUUAGGGACGAAUUCGUGACGGUACCUAAGGAAUAAGAGGUCGCUAACUCUGUGCCAGCAGCGGCGGUAAUACAGAGACCUCAAGCGUUAUCCGGAUUCAUUGGGCGUAAAGGGUCCGUAGGUGGUUUGUCGUGUCUCGUGUUAAAUAUACAGGCUCAACCUGUAUGCUGCACGAGAAACUGGCAAACUAGAGGACGGGAGAGGCAGACGGAAUUGCCGGUGUAGUAGUAAAAUGCGUUGAUAUCGGCAAGAACACCAAAGGCGAAGGCAGUCUGCUAGAACGUUCCUGACACUAAGGGACGAAAGCGUAGGUAGCGAAGCGGAUUAGAUACCCGCGUAGUCUACGCUGUAAACGAUGGGCACUAGACAUUGGCAGUAUCGACCCUGUCAGUGUCGUUCACAUAAGCUAACGCGUUAAGUGCCCCGCCUGUGGAGUACGACCGCAAGGUUAAAACAUAAAGGAAUUGACGGGAGCCUGCACAAGCAGUGGAGCAUGUGGUUUAACUCGAUAGCAAGCGGGGAACCUUACCAAGGUUUGACAUAUAGCUGCAAGCCCUAGAGAUAGGGUCGCCUUCGAGGGUGCUAUACAGGCGCUGCAUGGUCGUCGUCAGCUCGUGUCGUGAGAUGUCCGGUUAACUCCUUCAACGAGCGCAACCCCUAUGCUUUGUUCAAUUGACAAAGCAGACUGCGGUCGCAAGACCGAGGAAGGUGGGGACGACGUCAGAUCAGCAUGGCCCUUAUACCUUGGGCUACACACAUGCUACAAUGGUCAAUACAAAGGGGCGCGAAACCGCAAGGUGGAGCAAAUCCUAUCAAAAUUGGCCUCAGUUCGGAUUGGAGUCUGCAACUCGACUCCAUGAAGUCGGAAUUGCUAGUAAUCGUGAAUCAGCCUCGUCACGGUGAAUACGUUCUCAGGCUUUGUACACACCGCCCGUCACGUCAAGGGAGUCGGCAAUACCCGAAGUUCGAUGUAUUUCGUUCGAAGGUAGGGUCGAUAACAGGGACGAAGUCGUAACAAGGCA
rnacentral:rRNA from 1 species